GUUUCACGGCUCUGGGUCGUCGCUCCCGAGCCCUCCCUCUGCCCGCACUCCCGUCUCGGGCCCCGGGUCCCCGAGUCUCCAGCCCCCUCCGCCAAGUCUUCGUCUCUGGGUGGAUUCUUCAGCCCCAGGGAAACUUUGGAGUGGAGACCGGGGGAAGGGGCGCUAGGAGGAAUGGGAGCGACGCGGGCCGUUCGCCCCCGCCCCACCCCGUGUCUGGGGGUCUUUUUGGAUGGCCGCCCUCGGGCCCUUUCCUCCGAGGCCACUCUGGAGGGUAGACGCUCUCACACGCAGACAUUUAUUCAUUCAACAGAUAUUUAUUAAACGCUCGUUGCCAGUCGCUGGGAUCGAGUAGAGAGCAAAACAUAUUCCUGCCCUCGGGGAGCUUCCUGUCGGGUUCACAGACACACACGCACGCACAGGGACUCAGAGCCCCAGAGACACACACCGAGGCACCCACAGACACGAGCUAACUCCCAGCUUCAGUCACACCACUGACCCUCCCAGAGACACGAACCUCCGCUCCAGCCCCGCGGGUGCGCUUAGAGACCCACGAGAGUUAGAGACCCGCAACCACGAGGUGCUCACGAACACCAGUUACACUUGACCUCUAGGCACGCACACAGACACACAAGGUAACUCACACGCAGCACUCCAGAGGACUAAAGUCCCUGCAAUUGGGUCUGGGGGAGAAGUGAGGGGCGUCGGCCCAAAGUCUUCUUCCCAACCUGUGUGGGCAAGGGGGGGUGAGAUCUGACCCCCAAAAACUUCCUAAAGGGGGACGACUCGUGGGGACUAAAGGUCACCCGCCCCCCACAGCGGGAGUUCGGGUGGCGUAGGGGAGAAGGCAGCCCUGGGGGCUUCAACGACACUUCAAAGACCUCGCGGCCGGGAACGCUUCCUGCGGGGGAGGGGCAAACAGAGAGGAGAAGGGAAGACGGGCCGGGGGACUGGGGGUGGAGGAGGCCGCCUCCCCUUCGGCGCACUGCCCCCUGGCAGACUCUUCCGCCGGGUCCGCCUCCUUUUCACCAGCACCUGUUCAACCGGAACAUCAAGGGCCUGGGGCCCGCCGCGGCCCCCCGUCGGCUCUUUAGUACCUUUCAUCCGGAAGGGAGAUGAAUCCCCGCCCAGGAGGGGGGAGUAGGGCGGGGGAGAACUUGUCCUUGACCUGGUCUUUGGCGUCAGGGAUUUACUCCCUUAAUCCCGGAGAGGCGGGAGUUUGGGGAGGUCCAGGAAGCUGAGUUCUGGGCUGCAGCCCCACACCUCUCCUCGCUCCGGUGGACACAGGGAAUCUCGGAGGGCUGCCGGGACGAAGAGGCUACAUCUACACAGGGCGGUGUAGGGGAAGCCCGUCUCUUCGACCUCCGUGCCUGGGAGUAGGGGCCGAGAGCCAGAUUAUUGCGAUGACCGGAAUCCCGGCGAGGACGGCCGCGCUCCGGUUCCUUGGUCAAAUUUGUGAAUUUCGCUAACACGAAAAGUUAAACAAGACACAGAGGAGAAACUGCACUUAAGGGUUUCUAACGAAUUACCUUUACUAGCAAGAAUAAAACUGCAAGAAAAUUAAACGUAAAAAUGUCAGUCCUAAAUCAUGCACGAGUUUCAGAAUAUUUGAAUAUUUCCUUUUGGGGCCCACCGCUGCCAAGGUGGCCGCAGUUUCGGGUUUCGCCGGACAGGGCUCACUAAAACGUGCCUACGCCCCAGGGAUGGACGACUUGGAGACAGGGGCCGGGAAGCCUUUGUCUCAGGUCACCCUGCGCCAGGUUUGUCGCCUAAGUUUAUGGGAUGGACGGGAGACAACAUUUGUAAGUUUAGAGUUUUGGGAACGUUGUUUCGUUUAAUCCUCCCCACACCGUUUUAGGGUGGCUGUUCAUAUUUCCCAUUUUGUGGAUGGAGCAACUGAGGUUUCGACGGGAAAAAGUGACUCGCUCAAAGUCACUCAGGCUGAAAUCGGCAGAGUCGGGACUUGAACCCAGUCUGUGCCUCGCUACGACAGGGGUUCCGCUACCACGCGUUGGUCGAGUGCGGGUGCGGAACUGGGAUGUCCGAGCCUCCUCUACCAGCCCAUCCGCAAAUGUUCCCUGCGAGGUCUGGAGAAACCCGGUGCCCCGCGGGCUGGGCUGGAUUCGUGGCGGGUACCUAGGGUCGAGCUGUCAAGUUCAAUCUCAAGCUUCCAACAUUUAUUUUCCUGAGCGCCCACUAUGUGUCGAUCCGCAAAAAACGAGCAAGAGCAGGAACCAGCCAACAAGUGGUUCAAGUUCAUCGCGCUCUCCCCGGGGUAACUGAACACUGCUUUAGGGUGUCACGCAGACCCUGGCGGUGCGACUUUCGGCGAGUGACUUCACCUCUCCGAAAUCCGGCUUGUCCCUCUGUAAAUGGGGCAUCAGUACCCCCGGGCAGGGGCUGUAGUGAACAUCGAACGAAAAUCCUUUUGUAAAGCGUGAAGGCACACAGUAGGUGCUCAAUCCCUGCUCGUGCCCUCUCCGCCGCCCUAUGCGUGCCAGGGCCGCGCGCUCCCGCUCCUGCUUCCCGCUUCCCGCACCUUCUCCCGUCUCGCGCGUCCCGCGGCGAAGGGACUGGGGCAGAGACGACCAAACAGAAAAUUAUUUCCGCCCGCUCGCCCCGCCCCGCCCGUCCCCGGAGCCAGAAGGGGAUUGUGGGGCCGCCGCGGCCGCCGCCGGAGCCGAGCGGGGCGGAAGCGCGCGUCGCGCUGCUGCUCGGGCCCGACCGCGCCGGCCCGCACCUCCCGGCCCGGAGCUGCGGGCUGCGGUCAGGGCGAUCCCGGGGCCCUAGGCGGCUGCCGCCGGGCAAGUUUCCGCGAAGCCUGGCUCGCCGGUUCCGGGAACCAAGCGGGGGAGGCUGGAGGGUGUUGAGGUUUCGUUUCUGCCAGCCGACCGGGCGCUUGGUUUCGCAGGUGCCAGGGGUCGGGGGUGCGACCUCUCCCUCUGGGCCAUUAGACAGACCCAGGCUCGGGGAAGAGGCUGCGCCGACGCCCGAGGGUUUGCGUUUCCUUCGCGUCUCGUUUGCACACCAUUUUCUCCCCCAAAAGCAAAGCUUCUGACCUUCUGGGGGUUCGAAGAGGUUAAGUCAUUUUCCCCCAGGUAAUCUAGUCAGCGAAAGGCUUCAGCUGGGAGGGCCUCCCGCCUGGGCGGGGACCCGCUGGAGUCAGGCAAACCUAAGUUCGAGUCCCAGCCCUGCCACUUUCUUGCUUUGACCAUGGAUUAGUAGUGACUUAUCUGGGACCCUCCGUUUCCCCAUCGCAGACUGUAGUACUAACCUUAGGGCUGAUGUGAGCAGUGACGAUGUCAAGUGCCUGGCACAAAGAAGGGUGAUUUCCCCAUUAAAGGGUAUGACUCGGAGGUGAUCUAUCUAGUAGGCCUGGGUGGCUUAGGAGGGUGGGUGUACAGUUUGUUUCCUAAGUCAGACACCCUGUGCAAGAUGGAGGGAGGCUCUGUUUCAGGAGGAACUGGUGGGAGUGAGGGGAUUUCCCUGACAUUAGGAAGUCAGCAGUCAUGAUUAUUGUGAAUAGUGACUCUGCAUAUGUGGGAGUUUGGGCUUCUCAGGUCUUUCUACAGGAGGAACACAGUACUCAAUAUCAAAUCUUGCCCUCUGCGGUUAGCUAGCUGCCUCAGUUUGCCAAUCUCUAAUAUGGUGAUAGUUGGAUCCCCCUGCCUCCAGUCUACAGGAUUUUGGUAACUCCACCUGGCCAAGGUCCCAGCAAAUGCUGUAAGAGCUGUGAGUGAGCCCAGGUAGUUCCCUGACCAUGUUAGGGCAUCAGGGACCUCCUUUGGGGAGACAGAAUGGGUAGGAAGGGAAGAAGUUCAUGGGAUGAGAUAGCAUCUGCCCAAACUUUUUCCAGAGCUACGUGGACUCUAGCCCCAGCCCUGCCCCUAACCAGCAGUGUGACCUUGGGCAAAGCAGUUACCGUCUCUGGUAUUUGGUCAGGUGACCAGAUCUUGAAAGUCCCCUUGGUGGUAACAUUCUGUAAGUUGAUGACUCCGCUCCUGGGGAAAUUUCCAGGGUAAGCAAUGACAGUUGACUAGCACAUUUGCCCUGCUGUGUUCCACUUUACCAGUUCCUCUUACAGCCUAAUCUUUUUUUUUUUUUUUUUUUUUUUUUUUUGAGACAGAGUCUUGCUGUGUCACCCAGGCUGGAGUGCAGUGAUGUGAUCUCGGCCCACUGCAACCUCCGCCUUCUGGGUUCACGCCAUUCUCCUGCCUCAGCCUCCCGAGUAGCUGCGACCACAGGCGCGUGCCACCACGCACGGCUAAUUUUUUUUAUUUUUAGUAGAGGCGGGGUUUCACCGGUUAGCCAGGAUGGUCUUGAUCUCCUGACCUCGUGAUCCCCCUGCUUGAGGCUCCCAAAGUGCUGGGAUUACAGGUGUGAGCCACUGCGCCUGGCCUUACAGCCUAAUCUUCAUCCCUCCUCUUAUACUUACCAUCAGGACAGAAGUUGAAAAAGUUUAAUUAUUCGGUCUUUCAGCAGACACUCACUGAAUCAUCAUGGGCUGGCCAUAGGAGAUACACAGAUAGCACCUGGGGAUGACAGACAUAGGAAAGUAUUAACAGAUACAUGGAGAUACAUGGUAGGUACACAGAUAGCUAGUAGGGGUGACAGACAUAGGGAAUUAUUAACUUCAGGAUGAAAAGGGCUAUGACAGUGCUAUGAAUGAUGCUGAUACUGCAGGGAGGAAGUAACUGAGUUUAUGGGAUCAGGGAGGGCCUGAACUAGGACCAAGUGGGUGAGGGAGAGUUUGCAGGCAGUUAAGGGGCAGAAGAGCAUUCCAGGCAGGGGGAACAGCAUGUUCAAAGGCGCAGAGGCGGCCGGGCAUGGUGGCUCACGCCUGUAAUCCCAGCACUUUGGGAGGCUGAGGCGGGUGGAUCACGAGGUCAGGAGUUCAAGACCAGCCUGGCCAAGAUGGUGAAACCCCCGUCUCUACUAAAAAUACAAAAAUUAGCUGGGCAUGGUGGCAGGUGCCUGUAAUCCCAGCUACUUGGGAGGCUGAGGCAGAGAAUUGCUUGAAACCGGGAGGUAAAGAUUAUAGUGACCCAAGAUCGCGCCACUGCACUCCCUGGAUGACAAGAGUGAAACUCCGUCUCAAGAAAAAAAAAUACAAAAAUUAGCAGGGCGUGGUGGCGCAUGCCUGUAAUUCCAGCUACUCGAGAAUCUCCUGAGGCAGGAGAAUUGCUUGAACCCAGGAGGCGGAGGUUGCAGUGAGCUGAGAUCACACCACUGCACUCUAGCCUGGGUGACAGAGCGAGACUCCAUCUCAAAAAAAAAAAAAGGUGGGAUGUUAAGAAGGAUGUUCAGAUGAACCCCAUCCACCAAAUCCAUCCCCUAGGCUGUACCUCUGGGAGUCCUCCCCUGUCUUGCCUGGUGCAGCCUAGGGUAUUUGGUGGACGGGGCUAUCUGUACACUGAACAGUAGAACCCAGGAGCGGGGCAGGGUGAUGGAGCUGGUAACAAACUGCUUUGGAUGUGCUGACGUUGGGUGCCUAUGGCAGUAGGCAGUUGACUAUUUGUGUCUGGAUUAGCAGAGAGGGUGAGAGGGAGAGCCGGAUGUCCUGAGCAGCAGGAGAGUUUAUGUUAUAGAAGUCAAGGACAUUUAAGGAGGAAGCAGUGCUAGGGUCACAUGCCAUUGAGAGGUCGAGGGAAGGAAGGGUUCUACAAGGAGGAGGUCCCUGGUGACCUCAGCCUGGAAGGUUCCAGGCACUGGUGGUGGUGGACGCUGACUGCAGUGGGCCAAACAUGAAUUGGGAGGGGAGAAGGGAGGAAAUCAUGGAUUGGGAGGAAAGGGAGGAAAUAGUGGAGAAUAGCACUGGGGGAUGGGAGGAUCAGGAGGCAAGGAACUUGGAGGCAAGGAUGGACACCUGUGAUGAUGAUGAUGAUGAUAAUAGCAACGAUAACAGCAACAGCUCCUAUUCGAUGAGAGUUUAUUAUGUGCCAAGCAAUGUGCUAAGCAUGUAACAUACUCCCUGCAACAAGAUUGAGAUAGGUUCUAUUCUUGUUCCCAUUUUCCAGAGCUACUCUAGUCCCAGCCCUGCCCCAGCCAGCAGUGUGACCUUGGGCAAAGCGGUUACCCUCUCUGGUAUUUGGUCAGGUGACCAGAUCUUGAAAGUCCCCUUGGUGUUAACAUUCUGUAGGUUGAUGACUGUGCUCCUGUGGAAAUUUCUAGGGCGAGGAAAGAGCAGUAGGUGCAAAAGUAGGAUUUGCACCUCACUUUUUUUUUUUUUUUUUGAGACAGUGUUUCACUCUUGUUGCCCAGGCUGGAGCGCAAUGGUGUGAUCUCAGCUCACUGCAACCUCCACUUCCCGGUUCAAGCGAUUCUCCUGCCUCAACCUCCUGAGUAGCUGGGAUUACAGGCAUGCGCCACCACGCCUGGCUAAUUUUGAAUUUUUAGUAGAGACGGGGUUUCUCCAUGUUGGUCAGACUGGUCUCAAACUCCCGACCUCAGGUGAUCCG
rnacentral:lncRNA from 1 species